ensembl:lncRNA
GUGUGUGUUUGUGUGUAGUUCUGAUGUGUUUCCAUGGUGAAGACUAGUGUGUGUUUGUGUGUAGUUCUGAUGUGUUUCCAUGGUGAAGACUAGAGUGUGUUUGUGUGUAGUUCUGAUGUGUUUUCCAUGGUGAAGACUAGUGUGUGUUUGUGUGUAGUUCUGAUGUGUUUCCAUGGUGAAGACUAACUAGUGUGUGUUUGUGUGUAGUUCUGAUGUGUUUCCAUGGUGAAGACUAGUGUGUGUUUGUGUGUAGUUCUGAUGUGUUUCCAUGGUGAAGACUAGUGUGUGUUUGUGUGUAGUUCUGAUGUGUUUACAUGGUGAAGACUAGAGUGUGUUUGUUUGUUCUGAUGUGUUUACGUGAUGAAGUCUAGUGUGUGUUUGUGUGUAGUUAUGAUGUUUACGUGGUUAAGACUAGUGUGUGUGUGUGUGUGUGUAGUUAUGAUGUUUACGUGAUGAAGUCUAGUGUGUGUUUGUGUGUAGUUCUGAUGUGUUUCCAUGGUGAAGACUAGUGUGUGUCAUUGUUGGGUUA